rnacentral:snRNA from 1 species
GUCAAAGAAACACUUGCGUAUC